rnacentral:rRNA from 1 species
AUGAACAUUGCCCUCCUGACCCGUUGGCUCUGGCGCAUUGCCAAUGGCGAUGGAGGUCUCUGGCUUACUAUUAUCCAGAAUAAGUACCUUCGUGGACAGCCUCUCGCAUUCUGUCAGCACUCAGGCGGCUCUCAGUUUUGGCAGGCCGUCGUCCAGCUGCUGCCCGUACUUCACAUUGGCACAUCCAUUUCGGUUGGCACUGGGUCCUCGACCCUGUUCUGGUUUGAUAGUGGCUUGGCGACACCCCCCUGGCCGCGCGUUUCCCAAGGCUCUUCGACAUCGUCGUUGACCCUCGGGUUUCUAUCGAGGCGGCCCUUAUUGACCUAG